rnacentral:rRNA from 1 species
AGUGAACGCUGGCGGUAGGCCUAACACAUGCAAGUCGAACGGCAGCACAGUAAGAGCUUGCUCUUACGGGUGGCGAGUGGCGGACGGGUGAGGAAUACAUCGGAAUCUACUUUUUCGUGGGGGAUAACGUAGGGAAACUUACGCUAAUACCGCAUACGACCUACGGGUGAAAGCAGGGGAUCUUCGGACCUUGCGCGAUUGAAUGAGCCGAUGUCGGAUUAGCUAGUUGGCGGGGUAAAGGCUCACCAAGGCGACGAUCCGUAGCUGGUCUGAGAGGAUGAACAGCCGCACUGGGACUGAGACACGGCCCAGGCGUGUACGGGAGGGAGCAGGGGGGAAUGUUCCGCAAUGGGCGAAAGGCUGACGGAGCAUUGCCGCGUGGAGGUAGAAGGACUAAGGGUCGUGAACUUCUUUUCCCGGAGAAGAAGCAAUGACGGUAUCUGGGGAAUAAGCAUCGGCUAACUCUGUG